AUGACUGAGAGAAAUAAUCCUUCAAGAAGGAUGUUUCUGUUUCUGCGAUUCAUUCUCGCCUUGCACUAUGCGACCUCGGUGACCAUCCUCCAGACGCCGGCUUUCUCCGGAACUGCGGGCCAGAAGGUGACCCUGAAUUGCACAGUGGAGGGUAGUACCAGUGAUACUAACGGGUUGUACUGGUACCGACAAUACCCGGGAAAGGGUCCGGAGAACAUGUUUUACUCGAGCGUAGCUAAGUACGUCAGCCCAGAUGGAUUGGUCGACGGUUUUACGGCGGACAGACCGAAGGGCAACGAGAUCUUCCUGAAGUCCGACAAGCUGGAGGCGAAUUCAUCGGCCGUGUAUUUCUGCGCCUGGAGUAUUCACGGCGGCUCAGUGUGA